AGCAGCCGCGGUAAUUCCAGCUCCAAUAGCGUAUAUUAAAGUUGUUGUGGUUAAAAAGCUCGUAGUUGAACCUUGGGCCUGGCUGGCCGGUCCGCCUCACCGCGUGUACUGGUCCGGCCGGGCCUUUCCCUCUGUGGAACCCCAUGCCCUUCACUGGGUGUGGCGGGGAAACAGGACUUUUACUUUGAAAAAAUUAGAGUGCUCCAGGCAGGCCUAUGCUCGAAUACAUUAGCAUGGAAUAAUAGAAUAGGACGUGUGGUUCUAUUUUGUUGGUUUCUAGGACCGCCGUAAUGAUUAAUAGGGACAGUCGGGGGCAUCAGUAUUCAAUUGUCAGAGGUGAAAUUCUUGGAUUUAUUGAAGACUAACUACUGCGAAAGCAUUUGCCAAGGAUGUUUUCAUUAAUCAGGAACGAAAGUUAGGGGAUCGAAGACGAUCAGAUACCGUCGUAGUCUUAACCAUAAACUAUGCCGACUAGGGAUCGGACGAUGUUAUUUUNNGANUCG
rnacentral:rRNA from 1 species